CAGUCGCCGCGGUAAUACGAAGGGUGCAAGCGUUACUCGGAAUUACUGGGCGUAAAGCGUGCGUAGGUGGUGGUUUAAGUCCGUUGUGAAAGCCCUGGGCUCAACCUGGGAAUUGCAGUGGAUACUGGAUCACUAGAGUGUGUCAGAGGAUGGUGGAAUUCCCGGUGUAGCGGUGAAAUGCGUAGAGAUCUGGAGGAAUACCGGUGGCGAAGGCGGCCCCCUGGACAAAGACUGACGCUCAGGUGCGAAAGCGUGGGGAGCAAACAGGAUUAGAUACCCCCGUAGUCCCUGUCUCUUAUAC
rnacentral:rRNA from 1 species